UACGAAGGGGGCUAGCGUUGUUCGGAAUCACUGGGCGUAAAGGGCUCGUAGGCGGCCAACUAAGUCCGACGUGAAAUCCCAAAGCUUAACUUUGGAACUGCGUCGGAUACUGGAUGGCUUGAAUUCGGGAGAGGGAUGCAGAAUUCCAGGUGUAGCGGUGAAAUGCGUAGAUAUCUGGAGGAAUACCGGUGGCGAAGGCGGCAUCCUGGACCGACAUUGACGCUGAGGAGCGAAAGCUAGGGGAGCAAACGGG
rnacentral:rRNA from 1 species